rnacentral:rRNA from 1 species
AUUGAACGCUGGCGGCAGGCCUAACACAUGCAAGUCGAGCGAGCGGCGGACGGGUGAGUAAUGUAUGGGGACUGCCCGAUAGCGGGGGAUAACUACUGGAAACGGUGGCUAAUACCGCAUACUAUCGGAUAACCCAUAUGGGAUUAGCUAGUAGGUGGGGUAAAGGCUCAACUAGGCGACGAUCUCUAGCUGGUCUUAGAGGAUGAUCAGCAACACUGGGACGGGGACACGGCCCAGACUCCUCCGGAGGAAGCAGUGGGGAAUAUUGGACAAUGGGAGAAAGCCUGAUACAGCCAUGCGGGGUGUAUGAAGAAGGCCUUAGGGUUGUAAAGUACUUUCAGCGGGGAGGCGUUACCCGAAGAAGAAGCACCGGCUAACUCCGUGCCAGCAGCCGCGGUAAUUC